rnacentral:rRNA from 1 species
UACGUAGGGGGCUAGCGUUGUCCGGAAUCAUUGGGCGUAAAGAGCGUGUAGGCGGUCCGGUAAGUCCGCUGUGAAAGUCGGGGGCUCAACCCUCGAAUGCCGGUGGAUACUGUCGGGCUAGAGUGCGGAAGAGGCGAGUGGAAUUCCUGGUGUAGCGGUGAAAUGCGUAGAUAUCGAGAGGAACACCUGAGGUGAAGACGGGUUGCUGGGCCGACACUGACGCUGAGUGCGCGAAAGCCAGGGGAGCAAACGGG